rnacentral:rRNA from 1 species
GACGAACGCUGGCGGCGUGCUUAACACAUGCAAGUCGAACGGGCCCGCUCUCUUUUUUGGGGGCGGGUUGUGUGGCGAACCGGGGAGUAACCCCUGAGUAACCUUCCCUCUGCUCCUGGAUAACUGCUUGAAAGGGCGGCCAAUUCGGGGUGUGCCGGUUGGUCCGCAUGGGUCUGGUCGGGAUAGCUUUAUUUUUGUGUGUUAUGGUGGGGGACGGGCUCCCUGCCCUUCAGCUUGUUGGUGGGGUGAUGGCCAGCCACGGCGGUGACGGGUAGCCGGCCUGAGAGGGUGGGCGGCCACACUGGGACUGAGGCACGGCCGAGACGCGUGCGGGAGGCAGCAGUGGGGGGUAUUGCACAAUGGGUGGAAGCCUGAUGCAGCGACGUCGCGUGAGGGAUGGAGGCCUUCGGGUUGUGAACCUCUUUCUCCGGUGGUGAAGGCCCUGUCCGUUGCGGCGGGGUUGACGGUAGCCGGGUAUGAAGCGCCGGCUAACUACGUG